UACGAGAGGCCCGAGCGUUAAUCGGAAUCACUGGGCUUAAAGGGUGCGUAGGCUGGCCUGCAGGUGUGUUGUGAAAGCCCCCGGCUCAACCGGGGAAUCGCAGUGCAAACCGCAGGCCUCGAGGAAGGUAGAGGCUGUCGGAACGUUCGGUGGAGCGGUGAAAUGCGUUGAGAUCGAACGGAACGCCCAUGGGGAAGCCAGGCAGCUGGGCCUUACCUGACGCUGAGGCACGAAAGCGUGGGGAGCAAACAGG
rnacentral:rRNA from 1 species